UUCCUUGUGAACUCAAGGGGGUGCCCUGGAUUUUCAUGGCAAUUGUGCUUCUCAUAGUUGUUGGACUCCUUGUCUAUGAGCUCUCUUUACUCUCCAAGAAAUCGUCCUGAUGUCCUCCUGGGAUUAUCAGCAAUAAUAUAGUGCCUGUCUUGUGUCUAAUAAUAAUCGUCAGGAAUCUUCUCUCUUAGAUGGGAGAUGCACGUGUGUGUCUGUAUUUGGCUGCCAUUGUUGUUGUCAUCAUUGAGAAAAAUAUAUAUCGUUUUUUAAAUACUAAAAAAC
rnacentral:misc_RNA from 1 species